rnacentral:rRNA from 1 species
AACGUAGGACGCAAGCGUUAUCCGGAGUUACUGGGCGUAAAGCGCGGGCAGGCGGCUCGAUACGUCUGAUGUGAAAUCUCCUCGCUCAACGGGGAGAGGCCAUUGGAAACGGUCGAGCUGGAGGGCAGUAGAGGUAGGCGGAAUUCCGGGUGGAGUGGUGAAAUGCGUAGAGAUCGGAAAGAACACCAACGGCGAAAGCACUCUGCUGGGCCGACACUGACACUGAGAGACGAAAGCUAGGGGAGCGAAUGGG